GUGACUCAUCAAUUUGAUGUCAUGACCCAUUGAUGGGCUGUAGCACAGUUUUCCAAACCUUGAAUGAGCAUUUUCAUUUUCAAGCCAACAAAUCGAGGUUCGGAGAGAUUUUCUCAAGAUCACAGCAGAGCUGGUACAGAAACCCAAAGGUUCUCCUCAGUAAAAGGGAGCUCUCAUAUUUCUGGACAGCAAAACUCCUACAUGCCCUCCAGUAGCCGUGGAGCACAUCACAAGGCACAGGGUGUGCUAACAGGUUUGCUGAUGACAGCAGCAGGAUCCUACCACCUCUGGGCCUCUGACAGGGAAGUGCACCUGAGCAGGAUCUUACCUUGGAGAACCAGACCUUCUGCCUCGAUGGUGUAGACAAACGAAGUGAAGGCAGCCAAAGGGGACUUGGCAAUGAGAAUCUGCACAUAAAGCAUAUUUGGCCAGAGUGAGACAAAUGAUCAGGGCAAGAGCCAGUUCCAACCACGUGGCUGCAAGCAACAAACAUCCUGGAGAUGACGAAACGGAAGAAAAAAGCUGGGUAGCCUCA